UUUUUAAGUUCCCCCUGCCUUUGUACACCACCCGCCCCGUCGCUACUACCCGAUUGAAUGGCUCCAGUGAGGCUUCCCGGACUGGCCCAGGGGAGGUCGGCAACGACCCCCCCAGGGCCGGAAAGUUUAUCCAAACUCGGUCAUUUAGAGGAAGUAAAAGUCGUAACAAGGUCUCCGUUGGUGAACCAGCGGAGGGAUCAUUA
rnacentral:rRNA from 1 species